GACGAACCGAGCGAACGUUGUUCGGAAUCACUGGGCUUAAAGGGCGCGUAGGCGGGUGCUCAAGUCCGGGGUGAAAUCCUCCAGCUCAACUGGAGAACUGCCUCGGAUACUGGGUGCCUCGAGGGUGGUAGGGGUAUGCGGAACUAUCGGUGGAGCGGUGAAAUGCGUUGAUAUCGAUAGGAACUCCGGUGGCGAAGGCGGCAUACUGGACCACUUCUGACGCUGAGGCGCGAAGCCAGGGGAGCAAACGGGG
rnacentral:rRNA from 1 species